rnacentral:rRNA from 1 species
CCUACGGGAGGCAGCAGUGGGGAAUAUUGCACAAUGGGGGAAACCCUGAUGCAGCGACGCCGCGUGAGUGAAGAAGUAAUUCGUUAUGUACAGCUCUAUCAGCAGGGAAGAAAAUGACGGUACCUGAGUAAGAAGCCCCGGCUAACUACGUGCCAGCAGCCGCGGUAAUACGUAGGGGGCACGCAUUAGCCGGAUUUACUGGGUGUAAAGGGAGCGUAGACGGCAGUGCAAGUCUGGAGUGAAAGGCGGGGGCGCAACCCCCGGACUGCUCUGGAAACUGGACGGCUGGAGUGCAGGAGAGGUAAGUGGAAUUCCUAGUGUAGCGGUGAAAGGCGUAGAUAUUAGGAGGAACACCAGUGGCGAAGGCGGCUUACUGGACUGUAACUGACGUUGAGGCUCGAAAGCGUGGGGAGCAAACAGGAUUAGAUACCCCAGUAGUC